rnacentral:rRNA from 1 species
AUACACAUCUCCCAGCCCACGUGACUCGGCAUAGUCUCGCGAGCGGCGGACGGGUGAGUAAUGUCUGGGAAACUGCCUGAUGGAGGGGGAUAACUACUGGAAACGGUCGCUAAUACCGCAUACCAUCAGAUGUGCCCAGAUGGGAUUAGCUAGUUGGUGGGGUAAUGGCUCACCUAGGCGACGAUCCCUAGCUGGUCUGAGAGGAUGACCAGCAACACGGGAACUGAGACACGGUCACGACUCCUAAGGGAGGCAGCAGUGGGGAAUAUUGCACAAGGGGCGAAAGCCUGAUGCAGCCAUGCGGCGUGUGUGAAGAAGGCCUUCUGGUUGUAAAGCACGUUAAGCGGGGAGGAGUUACUCGCAGAAGAAGCACCGGCUAACUCCGUGCCAGCAGCCGCGGUAAUUC